rnacentral:lncRNA from 1 species
AAUGUCGGGCAGCUUUUGGGAGAAAAGAUGGAAGAAAAACCGAGAGGAAAUAAGAGGAAGAACAAGAAAAACUCUAGUUGUGUGCAACUCAUCCAACAAGCUUGGGAGUUAGAGCAAAAGAAAGCUAAGGAACUUGGUUCUUGAAGUGCAACCUUGUGAACCAACCUUUGGAAGGUAAAGUAGCCUUGAACUCUUGUAAAAGCUUGUAGCAAUUGAGUAGAAAUGUUGAUUUUGAUGUUGUAAGAUGCUAAUAAGGGUUAAUGAUGGUUUAUAUAUCACUUUUGUGGGUUUGUGUGGAGGAUUUGGUGAUUUCUAUGGUGGUUUGAGAAAAUUCCAGCAAGUGAUACAAAUUUUCAGUUUUAAUGCUGAAAUUAUCCUGUUUCUGACCGUGUCUUUUAGUCCAUGUUAGAGGCUGAAUUAGCCUUAGCUCAGAACAUGAAAGUUGUAGGGAAUGAUAUUUUAUAGCUGCCUAUAAAAUUUCAGCUCAAUCCGAGCACUGUAGCACGUGCAAAGACAUAAUACCCCUGACUGCCAUAGGUAGAGCUUUGUGGCCAGUUUUGACAUUUCACCAAUCUGACCGCGUCUGUUCACCCUGAUCUAUACUGAAUUAGCAUUUGGCCAAAACACAGAAGUUAUAGUUCUAUGUCUUAGUUUUCCAACGCCCCUGAAAACGCCUUAAUCGGACUUCGGUAGCCUGAGUUAUUAUUGUUUACGCAUAGUGCGGUUAACUAGCUCGAAUGUGAGAUUCUGGUUCUGAAAUUUGAAAUUUUGACCUGGAUACACUACGAACUGGACUGAGUGGUCUUCAUCAAAGUUGUAGGCCUUUGUCUUAGCUUCGUAAUGGUAUAAAUUUCACCCCAAUCUGAUGAUCGUAGCUUUGGUUGUGUCCGUUCCGCUGAGCGAUGUCAAAUCUGUCUUUUGUUUUAUGAUUUAAACUUUCUUUCCGGACAUUUUCCUAGCUUGAUUGUGUACUUAUAUGACAUUGAGCCUAUUGAACGGCUAUUGAAAUGAGAUUAUUUUGUGUGUGACUUUGGGACGGAUUUGAGGAAAAUAUUGAAGCCAUAAAUGGCUGGAAAAUAGGUAAACACAAGGGGCAUGCCGCCAAAUUUUCACUAGAGGACUAAACUAGCCUUUGGCAUUCUAGUUCUGUAUUUUGCAAAUUUGUCUUGGAUACACUGAAAACUGGGUUGAAAUGUCUUCAUGAAAGUUGUAACCUUUUGUCUAAGUUUCGAGACACUACCUAAUACAUUUUGAUCCGAUAACCACAGCUCCAGUUAUGGCUAAAAUCGUAUAACCCGUUUUGUACCGUUUUCAUUUUCGCGCACGCGCACGUGCAUUUCUCAACCGGUUUUGCCGUUUCGGACCAUUUAGGACUAUUUUUGUUAUUUUGUUACCAUUCCGGCCGUUUCAGCCGAUUUCGACAUUCUUUUGGCCUUAAUGUCAUUUUUGACCGUUUUUUAUUAUUUUUGACCGUUUCCGAUCGUUUAAGUUCUAAAUUGCUAUUGUAUGGCCGUUUCACUUAUGUGUGUAUAUAAUCUGUCAAUACAGACUGUGAGGCUUUUGACGGUGACGUCAAGCUCAGUGAAUUGUAUAAUUUUUCGUGCCAAGCUUUAUCAAGUGAGUAAUUGCGUUGUUAUUGAUGUGAAAUUGUUAAAGUGCUUUGUAUAUGUUAAAUGGGUACUUAGGUGAGGGUGUACUUUAUCCCACUCGACCUAAGCCCAUCCUUUGUUUUGAUUUCAUAUGUGAGAAUACAUGCCUUAUGUUGCGUAUCACCCUUUUGUUGAGUGCUGAUGGGGGUGAUUACAUGACUUGAAUUAAACCCUUUUUUUGAUGUGUGCUGUUAGGGUAAGUACUUUGCUGUGUACUUUGUUAAGAGAUAUCAUCUAUUGAGAGAUUGGAUAUUUCAGGGCUUGGUUCCAGCCCGGUUCCAAGGGUAGACGAACUAUUCGAGUCAGCGGGGGCUUGGUCGAAGAUAGUUCCAUGCUAAACUUGGGAUUUAGUUCUUUGUUAAAGCUUUGAUUAAAGCUAAGUGAUUUUGUUUCGUUCGAGCUGCUGUUCGCUGUUGACUGGCCAGCGGGGGUUGAUAAGGUGAACGGGAAAAGUUAAGUGGAGUCUACGGUCUAUGAGUACUUUGGUUGACGGAGUGUCAACAGGCGUUCAAGCUCGGGGAAUUGAAUUGGCUUUGGAGCCACCUGUAUCCUACCAUUGUGAUGUUACCUUUCUGUUGUUGAUGUGAAAUAUCCUGAUUUACUUGUUUAUUGGAUGUGAUUUUACAUUUUUCCCCCUGAUUAUUCACUAAGCAUAUAGCUUACCCAUUCCAUUUGUUUUCCUUAGCAGGGGGUACGAGCGGCGCGUGAGACUUGUACAGAGUAGUCUAGUUUUGAAUUUUGAAUGGUACUCGCGCUAGCACUCGACUAGGGUUGAUUGGACUCGGACUGUAAACACGUUAAUGUAUUUGGGUGUGUAUAAGCUUUGUAGCUGGAUCUGAGCAUCAAUGUAUAUAUUAAGUUUGAACUUGUGGUGUUA